rnacentral:rRNA from 1 species
GACGUAGGAUGCAAGCGUUGUCCGGAUUUAUUGGGCGUAAAGAGUUCGUAGGUGGUUUGUUAAGUCUGAUGUUAAAGAUCGGGGCUCAACCCCGGGAGUGCAUUGGAUACUGGCAGACUGGAGUGUAGUAGAGGCAAGCGGAAUUCCAGGUGUAGCGGUGAAAUGCGUAGAUAUCUGGAAGAACACCAGUGGCGUAAGCGGCUUGCUGGGCUAUAACUGACACUGAGGAACGAAAGCCAGGGGAGCGAAUGGG